GGCUCACCAAGCCGAUAAUCGAUAGGGGCCGUGAGAGCGGGAGCCCCGAGAUGGGUACUGAGACAACGACCCAGGCCUUACGAGGCGCAGCAGGCGCGAAACCUCCGCAAUACACGAAAGUGUGACGGGGUUACCCAAAGUGUUCAAUUAUGAACUGUGGUAGGUGAGUAAUGUUCCCUACUAGAAAGGAGAGGGCAAGGCUGGUGCCAGCCGCCGCGGUAAAACCAGCUCUUCAAGUGGUCGGGAUAAUUAUUGGGCUUAAAGUGUCCGUAGCCGGUUUAGUAAGUUCCUGGUAAAAUCGGGUAGCUUAACUAUCUGUAUGCUAGGAAUACUGCUAUACUAGAGGACGGGAGAGGUCUGAGGUACUACAGGGGUAGGGGUGAAAUCUUAUAAUCCUUGUAGGACCACCAGUGGCGAAGGCGUCAGACUGGAACGUGCCUGACGGUGAGGGACGAAAGCCAGGGGAGCGAACCGGAUUAGAUACCCGGGUAGUCCUGGCCGUAAACGAUGCAUACUAGGUGAUGGCAUGGCCAUGAGCCAUGUCAGUGCCGUAGGGAAACCGUUAAGUGUGCCGCCUGGGAAGUACGGUCGCAAGGCUAAAACUUAAAGGAAUUGGCGGGGGAGCACCACAAGGGGUGAAGCCUGCGGUUCAAUUGGACUCAACGCCGGGAAACUUACCAGGGGAGACAGCAGAAUGAUGGUCAGGUUGACGACCUUACCUGACAAGCUGAGAGGAGGUGCAUGGCCGUCGCCAGUUCGUGCUGUGAGGUAUCCUGUUAAGUCAGGCAACGAACGAGAUCCGCACCUUUAUUUGCCAGCAAGAAGUCACGACUUCGUUGGGAACACUAAAGGGACCGCCGUCGAUAAGACGGAGGAAGGAGCGGGCAAAGGCAGGUCAGUAUGCCCCGAAACCCCUGGGCUACACGCGGGCUGCAAUGGUAUGAACAAUGGGCUGUAACUCCGAAAGGAGAAACCAAUCCCGAAAUCAUAUCUCAGUGGGAAUUGUCGGCUGUAACCCGCCGACAUGAACGUGGAAUCCCUAGUAAUCGUGUGUCAUCAUCGCACGGUGAAUACGUCUCUGCUCCUUGCACACACCGCCCGUCGCUCCAUCCGAGUGUGCUAAAAAUGAGGU
rnacentral:rRNA from 1 species